rnacentral:rRNA from 1 species
UACAGAGGUCUCAAGCGUUGUUCGGAUUCAUUGGGCGUAAAGGGUGCGUAGGCGGCGCGGUAAGUCGGAUGUGAAAUCUCGGAGCUUAACUCCGAAACUGCAUUCGAUACUGCCGUGCUUGAGGACUGGAGAGGAGACUGGAAUUUACGGUGUAGCGGUGAAAUGCGUAGAUAUCGUAAGGAAGACCAGUGGCGAAGGCGG